CCAAGAGGAUCGCAAGGCGUGCAGAGAAGGGUAGGAUGCCUAACCCGUUCGAUCGGUUGGACCCGUGCCCGCAUACUGCGAGGAGUCGUAUAGCCCUCUCGAGGGGGGCGCCGGUAGUAGCUAUCUACCCGCCCAUAGAUGGGACCUUCCCUUUAGACGGGGCUCUUCUCUACCGCUCUUGCAUUCCACAACCUUCACCCUUGAUUAUUCUAGCCUUGUUGCCUCGGCAGGCUCGCCUGCCAGAGGACACAAUCUAAACUACUGUUGUUAACAGCGAAGUCUGAGCUAUAAAAGCAAUUGUUUA
rnacentral:misc_RNA from 1 species